CCCAACUUCUCAUAAACAUGAGCGAGGUAUUUAGGAGCGUGUUGUUAAAUUUAUACAUAUUUGUGAAUUUCCCACUUUGUUUUUGUGAAUUUCCUUUUGUGAUUGAUUUUUAAUUUCAUCCCAUUGUGAUCAGAAAACAUACUUUGUAUAAUUUCAAUAUUUUAAAUAAUGAGACUUGUUUUCUGUCCUAAUAUAUGCUCUAUCCCAGAAAAUGUUCAUGUGCACUUAAGAAGAAUUUGUAUUUUGCUUUUGUUGAGUGGAAUAUUCUGUAGAUUUCUGUCAGGUCUAGUUGCUUUACAGUGUUGUUCAAGUCUUCUAUUUCCUUGCUGAUCUUCUAAUUGUUCUAUCCAUUAGUAAAAGUGGGGUAUUCGCUAUUCAAGUCUUUGGCUAUUAUCAUCUAUUUCUUCCUUUGAUUCUGUCAGUUUUUGCUUCCUGUAUUUUGGGGCUGUAUGUUCUGCUUUCUCAUUUCACCUUUCACAGAAGUUUUUUCCCGUUUGAUCAAAGAAAGGCUUGUCCUUCAUUUACCUUAGAAUCUUACUCUGGUACAUUGCCAAGUUGUAAAAUCACCAGGAAAUCAAGGGGAAUUCUGAAAUUUUGUUUCCCACGUUUUUUUAGUGAUAAUCAAGAUGCUGUAACACCCAUCCCAAGAAUGACUUUUCUUCCCUCUGUCAUCCAUACUCCUGUUAAGGCAUGACACUGGAAUGGGAUAGUUUGG
rnacentral:lncRNA from 1 species